rnacentral:rRNA from 1 species
GACGAACGCUGGCGGCGUGCCUAAUACAUGCAAGUCGAGCGCUUGCAACUUGAGUUUACUCAAGUUGCUUGAGCGGCGGACGGGUGAGUAACACGUGGGCAACCUGCCUGUAAGACUGGGAUAACUUCGGGAAACCGGAGCUAAUACCGGAUAAUCCUUUUCCUCUCAUGAGGGAAAGCUGAAAGACGGCGCAAGCUGUCACUUACAGAUGGGCCCGCGGCGCAUUAGCUAGUUGGUGAGGUAACGGCUCACCAAGGCGACGAUGCGUAGCCGACCUGGGAGGGUGAUCGGCCACACUGGGACUGAGACACGGCCCAGACUCCUACGGGAGGCAGCAGUAGGGAAGCUUCCGCAAUGGACGAAAGUCUGACGGAGCAACGCCGCGUGAGCGAUGAAGGCCUUCGGGUCGUAAAGCUCUGUUGUUAGGGAAGAACAAGUACCGGAGUAACUGCCGGUACCUUGACGGUACCUAACCAGAAAGCCACGGCUAACUACGUGCCAGCCGCCGCCGUAAUAC